rnacentral:rRNA from 1 species
GAGUUUGAUCCUGGCUCAGAUUGAACGCUGGCGGCAGGCCUAACACAUGCAAGUCGAGCGGAUGAAGGGAGCUUGCUCCUGGAUUCAGCGGCGGACGGGUGAGUAAUGCCUAGGAAUCUGCCUGGGUAGUGGGGAGUAACGUCCGGAAACGGGCGCUAAUACCGCAUACGUCCUGAGGGAGAAAGUGGGGGAGUCUUCGGACCUCACGCUAUCAGAUGAGCCUAGGUCGGAUUAGCUAGUUGGUGGGGUAGAGGCCUACCAAGGCGACGAUCCGUAACUGGUCUGAGAGGAUGAUCAGUCACACUGGAACUGAGACACGGUCCAGACUCCUACGGGAGGCAGCAGUGGGGAAUAUUGGACAAUGGGCGAAAGCCUGAUCCAGCCAUGCCGCGUGUGUGAAGAAGGUCUUCGGAUUGUAAAGCACUUUAAGUUGGGAGGAAGGGCAGUAAGUUAAUACCUUGCUGUUUUGACGUUACAACAGAAUAAGCACCGGCUAACUUCGUGCCAGCAG